AACGAACGCUGGCGGCAGGCUUAACACAUGCAAGUCGAACGCAUCGCAAGAUGAGUGGCAGACGGGUGAGUAACGCGUGGGAACAUACCCUUUUCUACGGAAUAGCUCUGGGAAACUGGAAUUAAUACCGUAUACGCCCUACGGGGGAAAGAUUUAUCGGGGAAGGAUUGGCCCGCGUUGGAUUAGCUAGUUGGUGGGGUAAAGGCCUACCAAGGCGACGAUCCAUAGCUGGUCUGAGAGGAUGAUCAGCCACAUUGGGACUGAGACACGGCCCAGACUCCUACGGGAGGCAGCAGUGGGGAAUAUUGGACAAUGGGCGCAAGCCUGAUCCAGCCAUGCCGCGUGAGUGAUGAAGGCCUUAGGGUUGUAAAGCUCUUUCACCGAUGAAGAUAAUGACGGUAGUCGGAGAAGAAGCCCCGGCUAACUUCGUGCCAGCAGCCGCCGCGG
rnacentral:rRNA from 1 species